AGAGUUUGAUCCUGGCUCAGAAUGAACGCUGGCGGCGCGCCUAACACAUGCAAGUCGAACGAGAAAUCUCGAGCUUGCUCGAGAGAGUAAAGUGGCGCACGGGUGAGUAACGCGUGGGUAACCUGCCCUUAAAUCUGGGAUAAUCCACCGAAAGGUGGCCUAAUACCGGAUACAGUCCCAGGAACCAUGGUUCUUGGGAUGAAAGCUGAUCUCUUCUUGAAAGUUGGCAUUUAAGGAGGGGCCCGCGUACCAUUAGCUUGUUGGUAGGGUAAAGGCCUACCAAGGCUACGAUGGUUAGCUGGUCUGAGAAGACGGCCAGCCACACUGGAACUGAAACACGGUCCAGACUCCUAUGGGAGGCAGCAGUGAGGAAUUUUGCGCAAUGGGGGAAACCCUGACGCAGCGACGCCGCGUGAGUGAAGAAGGCCUUCGGGUCGUAAAGUUCUGUCAAGUGGGAAUAAAGCUGUGCAUUUAAUAAGUGUACAGUCUGAAGGUACCACUGAAGGAAGCACCGGCUAACUCCGUGCCAGCAGCCGCGGUAAUACGGAGGGUGCAAGCGUUAUUCGGAUUUAUUGGGCGUAAAGAGCGUGUAGGCGGUUGGGUCAGUCAGGUGUGAAAGCCUUCUGCUCAACGGAAGAAGUGCAUCUGAAACUACCUAACUUGAGUACGGGAGAGGAAAGUGGAAUUCCCAGUGUAGAGGUGAAAUUCGUAGAUAUUGGGAGGAACACCUGUGGCGAAGGCGACUUUCUGGAUCGAUACUGACGCUGAGACGCGAAAGCGUGGGGAGCAAACAGGAUUAGAUACCCUGGUAGUCCACGCCGUAAACGAUGGGAACUAGGUGUAGCGGGUAUUGAUCCCUGCUGUGCCGAAGCUAACGCAUUAAGUUCCCCGCCUGGGGAGUACGGUCGCAAGGCUA
rnacentral:rRNA from 1 species